UACAGAGGGGGCAAGCGUUGUUCGGAAUUACUGGGCGUAAAGGGCGCGUAGGCGGCCUUCUAAGUCGAACGUGAAAUCCCCGGGCUCAACCCGGGAACUGCGUCCGAUACUGGAAGGCUUGAAUUCGGGAGAGGGAUGCGGAAUUCCAGGUGUAGCGGUGAAAUGCGUAGAUAUCUGGAGGAACACCGGUGGCGAAGGCGGCAUCCUGGACCAACACUGACACUGAGGAGCGAAAGCCAGGGGAGCAAACGGG
rnacentral:rRNA from 1 species